rnacentral:rRNA from 1 species
UACGUGGGGUGCAAGCGUUGUUCGGAAUUACUGGGCGUAAAGGGCGCGUAGGUGGCCACGUAAGUCGGACGUGAAAUCCCUCAGCUUAACUGGGGAACUGCGUCUGAUACUGGAUGGCUUGAGUUUGGGAGAGGGAUGCGGAAUUCCAGGUGUAGCGGUGAAAUGCGUAGAUAUCUGGAGGAACACCGGUGGCGAAGGCGGCAUCCUGGACCAAUACUGACACUGAGGAGCGAAAGCCAGGGGAGCAAACGGG